GGGCACAUGGUGUAGUUGGUUAUCACGCCCGCUUAGCAUUAAUCUGCAAUUGCGAGAGGUGUUGGGUUCAAUUCCCAAUGUGUCCA